rnacentral:rRNA from 1 species
ACAAGCGGUGGAGUAUGUGGUUUAAUUCGAUGCAACGCGAAGAACCUUACCUGGUCUUGACAUCCCGGAGACCCUUAGGAACUAGGGGUGCUUCCAUCUGGAAGAAUCUGGAGACAGGUGCUGCAUGGCUGUCGUCAGCUCGUGUCGUGAGAUGUUGGGUUUAAGUCCCGCAACGAGCGCAACCCUUGCCUUUAGUUGCCAGCAGUUCGGCUGGGCACUCUAAAGGGACUGCCGGUGUUAAACCGGAGGAAGUGGGGAUGACGUCAAGUCCUCAUGGCCUUUAUGACCAGGGCUACACACGUACUACAAUGGCCGAUACAAAGGGCAGCGACACUGCGAGGUGAAGCCAAUCCCGUAAAAUCGGUCUCAGUCCGGAUUGGAGUCUGCAACUCGACUCCAUGAAGUUGGAAUCGCUAGUAAUCGUGGAUCAGCAUGCCACGGUGAAUACGUUCCCGGGCCUU